AUUGAAGAAAAAAAAAUGAAAUGAAAUGAAAUGUAGUUGUUAUUUUUUCUUUUUUCCAGCUGUACCGUGAUGGUGCUUUACAACUGCUGCUGUGAUUAAGAAAAGAUAAAUAAUUGCAUUGAUGGGUUUCAUCAUCAAAAUGA
rnacentral:ribozyme from 2 species